CAUGACAUUGGCACCUCAAAACUCCCCACUCCAACAAAAGGCUCGAGAACCCAGAAGGAAAACCCAAAUCCUUUCGUAACUGCCGCGUGCACCUCAUGCUUCACGAUAGUCUUCUUCCACCUAGCUCCCCCCGGCGCACGUUAACCCACGCUCCCAUCUUACCUAGUCCCUACUUCACUCUCUGUCAGAACCCUAAUGUCCAGCUUCGACUAUUGAUCACAGUUUAGCAGCUGUACUAUAAUUUAUUUUUAUUUUUGUAAAUUUUUAGAUCAAUCGGAACAAAUAUGAUGGGAUCGGAGAACCAGGGCUUUGAAGAAGCCCAUAUCGACGCUUCCCGUGAAGAAAUGGAGAGCCUCGUCCUCGACGACCCUUCUAAUAACAGCAACGGGACCAAAUCCUUUUCCCAUCAUCGGAGCGCUAUGUCAUCACUCGCCGACAGUCACCACCUUCUAUCGCGGCCGAUGGUGGCGGCGCCAGCUGAUUCUGACCCUCUGCUUGCUCCUCCGUCCUUUCGUGAUUUCCGAAACCCUAACGUCGCAGCAGAUAACUCGUCCUACAUCGAACCGCCAUCCUAUGCCGAUGUCAUUUUCAGUCCGUUCGAUGAAAACGCCGUCCAUGAAAUCGACGGCGUUGAUAGCCCUGGUCGGUCUUCUGAUUCAUCGGUAUCACUCUCGAGGUCACCGUCCUCCAGCUCCGAUUAUAUCAAAAUAACAGUCUCGAAUCCGCAGAAGGAGCAAGAAACUUCUAAUUCUCUCGUUCCAGGAAGUAACACUUAUAUUACGUAUCUAAUCACGACGAGAACGAACAUAACGGGCUUCAACGGAUCUGAAUUUAGCGUACGGAGGCGAUUUAAAGACGUCGUCACUUUGUCAGAUCGAUUAGCAGAGUCAUAUCGAGGGUUUUUUAUCCCGCCGAGGCCGGACAAGAAUUUGGUGGAGAGCCAAGUGAUGCAGAAGCAGGAGUUUGUGGAGCAAAGGAGAGUGGCAUUAGAGAAAUACUUAAGGAGACUUGCUACGCACCCAGUCAUAAGGAAAAGCGAUGAACUGAAGGUUUUUUUACAGGUUCAAGGGAAGUUGCCGUUGCCAACCAGUACUGAUGUAGCUUCAAGGAUGCUCGAUGGUGCAGUGAAGUUGCCCAAGCAGUUGUUUGGAGAGAGUGUGGUAGUAGCGCCAGAGGAAGUGGUACAACCGGCAAAAGGAGGUAGGGAUUUGUUGAGGCUGUUUAAGGAGUUGAGGCAGUCAGUGACUAAUGAUUGGGUAGGAUCAAAGCCGCCAGUUGCUGAGGAAGAUAAAGAGUUCUUGGAGAAGAAAGGGAGGAUGCAUGAUCUUGAGCAGCAACUCAGCAAUGCUUCUCAGCAGGCUGAAUCUCUGGUGAAAGCCCAACAAGAUAUGGGGGAGACAAUGGGAGAAUUAGGAUUAACGUUCAUAAAAUUGACUAAAUUUGAGAACGAGGAGGCUAUCUUUAACUCACAGAGAGUGAGGGCUGCUGACAUGAAAAAUGUGGCAACAGCAGCAGUUAAAGCAAGCCGAUUCUACCGGGAGCUAAACGCACAUACUGUCAAGCAUUUGGAUACUCUCCAUGAAUAUCUUGGGCUGAUGUUAUCUGUACAUGGGGCAUUCUCAGACCGUUCUAGUGCUUUGUUGACUGUGCAAACUCUUAUAUCAGAAUUGUCCUCAUUGCACUCAAGGGCUGAAAAACUUGAAGCUGCAUCGUCAAAGAUAUUUGGUGGUGACAAGUCAAGGAUUCGCAAGAUAGAGGAGCUGAAGGAAACCAUAAGAGUCACUGAGGAUGCGAAGCAUGUUGCAAUUAGAGAGUAUGAACGGAUCAAGGUAUUGUGUUCUACAUUUUUGUUCAUAUCAAAAUUUUAUCUUGCUUAUUGUCUUCCAACUACUUUGACAGCUUUAGCAUGUUUGCAAUUGCAAAGGAUCAGCUUAGAGCUAGAUUAAUAAGAACUGUUUGUUUCUUGUCUUGCUGUAUUGUUGGCUUUUACUGGAUGAAUAUAUAAGUUUCCCAUAAUGGCAAUUACUAUAGAUGAUAAUAUGGUCUCAACUGAUAAAACUCAUUUGGUUUUGGGCAUAGGAUGUGCAUAGAGCAAAACAAGGUUUGGGAAAUUUUGCAUUUUGUGGAUAACCCAUAUAUCAAGUAGGGUUUGAACUUGUAACUUAACUGUGCUUAAGAUGACUUUAGUAUCACUGAGCCAAGGUUCAUUGGUAAUGCAAUAUCCUUUUGAUAUGAGGAGAAAUAGUUUUAUAAAUGCUUUGGUUCUGCUACAGAUUUUUGAUGUCAGGUUUGAAAAUUAAUGUCUCAGAGUGGUUUAGUGGAUAUUAAUUUGCAGCUGGCGGUGUUGUCUGGUCUGGCAUCUUUAGUGGGUUAUGUAGUCCAAUUUUGGCCAAUAAUUGCUGAGGGUUCAUUGGUGUUGGGAGUAACCUUAGGUAUAUGGCCUUUUGGGCUUUGAUCACUCGAAUUCUCUAAACAGAACAGAUAAUUGAAAUUUGAAAGAUGGUUUAUUUCCUCUUGGUGGAUGUACAACUUUUAUACAAGAUUGUUUGCCUCUAAAUCAUUUUUUCUUUUUUAAGACUCCUGUGUGUGUUGCAUUGAAAAUUGAAUUCUCACUGAGGGAUUUUUCUUUGGGCUGAUGCAAAGGAUAUUAGGAGAGAUCGUCUUGUUAGCUAGGAGGUGGCAUGUAAGCCUAUGUCUCAAGGGGAUCAGUUAAUUCAGUGUCUAAAAGCGUUGCCAUAAUUGGAAAGCACUUAAGGCAUUUUCCUUUAAAACCUUAUUCUUUGUGAUAUAAAGGAACUAAGAGUAAAUAUAGCUUUGAGAGGGAGUUUCAAGCUUAAUAAUGUAUUUAUAUGAUUUGAUUAAUAGUGGCAGAUGUCAUGCCUAUGGAUGUAGUCCUAUUGAGAGAAUGAACCAUGUUAAAUAUUGUAUUGUGUUUAUUGAUUUGUUUCCUUGUAGAUUAUAAGCUUCUGCUGUCGCAGAAAGGUGUGUUUGAUCUUAACAUUUGUCUUCAUAGUUUACAACAAGCAGAAAGAAAUCACUUUAUAUAUUUGACGAAUUGUAGUUUUGGCUCAUGAGCAUUUACUGAGCCUAUCUGUUCAAGCAGACAUUUAUUACACUGUUGAGCUACUGUUAUUUUCAUCUUAGAUAUGCUGGAAUUUAAUGUUUGUUUAUAAUUCCAAUAAUGUGAGGCAUGUAACUUUCGGUCAUAGCUGCAACAAUGGUUGCAGUUGCAUGUAACAGAAUGGAACUCUCAUGGUCAUAAUGUAACCGUUGCAGCCUAUUGCUAUGCGAUUUUUUUUUUUUUUUUUG
rnacentral:misc_RNA from 1 species